AAAAAGACAAACUGUGGGUUUCAUUUAACUGUCCGUUUUAUAUAAAAUUUUUUUAUAAUUAGUAUUUUCAUUGUUGUUAUAUGAUAAAACAUGAUUAAUAUUUUAUGCGUGACUUAUCUUUUUAAUUUUUUCAUAAUUUUUUCAAUAAGACAGAUGGUCAAACGUUGGACACAGAAAU
rnacentral:pre_miRNA from 1 species